rnacentral:lncRNA from 1 species
AUUAAACUUCUCUUUCUACUAAAUUAAGACCAAGCUUAAAUAGUUACCAAUUAGGUUUGAAAAGCACCUCUUAAAAAGACUUGGAUUCCUUUUGGCUAGAAGUGUUCUGAGAAAGGUCUCACUUCCAGUGAAGUGUGAGGGGUAUCUUAGACAAAAGGUGUUUCAUGCAUGUUGGCAGUAACCCCAGGCCUGUGAAACUUGUGUAGAAAGUAGGCAGAGGUCAGAUUAGUGGAUGACAGUGGCAGGUGGUUAAAUGCCUUCCUAUUUAAGUAGAGUAGUCACAUGAGAAUGGAAUUUCUGCUUGGGGAACUGGAAAGGUAGGACAGUGGGUGAAGGGAGUCACAUUUCUUUCACAGGAUAGGUGCUAUAUCAGAGUAUGAAGUGAAAGCCAUUAAUAGAUCAUCUUUUCUAGUAUUCCUGGCAACUUGCCUUAAAGAGUCUCCUCACUAUUGCUGGGCUCCUACCUAUAGAUAGCUAAUCUGCUUUUAAUAGUGUGUAAAUACCUGGAUUCCAUCUUUUUCUUCUCUCAGAUUUUUAAAUCCAACUGUAAAACUAAAAGGUGUUUGGUGUUGAGAAUAAAUAGUUGAUUUUCAUGCAGUUUAUUUUUUAAGUUCU